rnacentral:rRNA from 1 species
UACAGAGGGUGCGAACGUUGCUCGGAAUUACUGGGCGUAAAGCGCAUGUAGGCGGACCUGCAAGUCAGAUGUGAAAUCCCCGGGCUCAACCCGGGAACUGCAUCUGAAACUGCAGGCCUUUGAGUACUGGAGAGGGUGGCGGAAUUCCUGGUGUAGAGGUGAAAUUCGUAGAUAUCAGGAGGAACACCGGGUGGCGAAGGCGGCCACCUGGACAGUUACUGACGCUGGAGGUGCGAAAGCGUGGGGAGCAAACAGG